AAAUUUAGUUUUAGGGUUUCGGCUGGGAUCUAUUUCAUUUCCUCUUGCUGGUGUUGUACGUCCCCGACUGCUGACCUAGAAAUUUCAAUUCAGAAACCCAGCUCUGUUUCUUUCGCCUCUCUUCUGUGAUGAGAAUCAAGCACAUUGGUACCUCUCUGCGCAUUGCUCAGAGAGACUAGAUGCUGAUCAAAACGCUGCGUUUCGUCGGCGAUCGAAAUCCGUAUCAGAAUGUAAUCAAAUGGUACGCUCUGAUAAUUAUUUUGGAAAGAACAAAAUCAAGUGGUUUUGUUAUGGAUAUCCAGGGACCGAUUCUGUUUCAGUGAGCUCAGGUCGCUUUCCAAAGUUUAGGAAAUGGUUUGGUCAGGAUUGACAAGCGGUCAGGGAUCAGUUUCUGAAAAAUCUGUAAUCAUCAGUUGUUUUGGUGGACACACACUGUUCCAGUAACGGAACAUUAUGGAUGUGUAGUUCUGGCCUUCUAGGAUAGUUUAUAUCAAGGACAAUGGGUUUUAUGGAAAUACUAAUGGCCUUUUGAAUUCAGACUGUUGUAUUAUGUUACCUCUUGGAUGUGCAUUGAUUAGUAGCCUUUCUAUUCAAAAUUGCAUACUAAUGAAACCUCGUGGACAAUGGAUUUUAUGUGUUUC